rnacentral:rRNA from 1 species
GGCAAAGACUGAAACUCAAAAGGAAUUGACGGGGGCCCGCACAAGCGGUGGAGCAUGUGGUUUAAUUCGAAGCAACGCGAAGAACCUUACCAGGUCUUGACAUCCUCUGACAAUCCUAGAGAUAGGACGUCCCCUUCGGGGGCAGAGUGACAGGUGGUGCAUGGUUGUCGUCAGCUCGUGUCGUGAGAUGUUGGGUUAAGUCCCGCAACGAGCGCAACCCUUGAUCUUAGUUGCCAGCAUUCAGUUGGGCACUCUAAGGUGACUGCCGGUGACAAACCGGAGGAAGGUGGGGAUGACGUCAAAUCAUCAUGCCCCUUAUGACCUGGGCUACACACGUGCUACAAUGGACAGAACAAAGGGCAGCGAAACCGCGAGGUUAAGCCAAUCCCACAAAUCUGUUCUCAGUUCGGGAUCGCAGUCUGCAACUCGACUGCGUGAAGCUGGAAUCGCUAGUAAUCGCGGAUCAGCAUGCCGCGGGGAAUACGUUCCCGGGGCCUUGUACACACCCGCCCGUUCACACCACGACAGUUUGUAACACCCGAAGUCGGUGAGGUAACCUUUUUAUGAGCCAGCCGCCGAAGGUGGGGACAGA